CCUCAGCAAUUUCUAUAAGAGGGCUCCAUCUGAUAUCAGCAUCAGCAAUUUCUAUAAGAGAGCACCCUCUGACCUCAGCAAUUUCUAUAAGAGGGCACCUUCUGACCUCAGUAAUUUCUACAAGAGGGCGCCGUCUGACCUCAGUAAUUUCUACAAGAGGGUGCCGUCUGACCUCAGCAGCUUUUACAAACGAGCUCCCACGGACGUGAGUAACUUCUACAAGAGGGCACCCUCCAACCUAAGCAGUUUUUACAAGCGAAACUUCAAUGGAGACAUUGAUGAAACCAACGAAGCAUUCAAAACGUUGGCUUCUGUCAGAGAUAUCUAAUCUGAAACAGUGACACUCUAUUUUUGGCAAUUUGCGAUCACGUGAUAGACUUUGUCAAAAAAUAGAAUUAAUAAAACGAAACAAAACACUCGCCUCAUGUAUAUCUUUGUUUUCAAGUUACAAAUAAAAAAAAUUGUUCUUUCUU